CCUACGGGAGGCAGCAGUGAGGAAUAUUGGUCAAUGGGCGCGAGCCUGAACCAGCCAAGUCGCGUGAAGGAUGACUGUCCUACGGGUUGUAAACUUCUUUUAUAAAGGAAUAAAGUGAGGCACGUGUGCCUUUUUGUAUGUACUUUAUGAAUAAGCAUCGGCUAACUCCGUGCCAGCAGCCGCGGUAAUACGGAGGAUCCGAGCGUUAUCCGGAUUUAUUGGGUUUAAAGGGAGCGUAGAUGGGUUGUUAAGUCAGCUGUGAAAGUUUGCGGCUCAACCGUAAAAUUGCAAUUGAUACUGGCAGCCUUGAGUACAGUUGAGGUAGGCGGAAUUCGUGGUGUAGCGGUGAAAUGCUUAGAUAUCACGAAGAACUCCGAUUGCGAAGGCAGCUUACUAAGCUGCCACUGACAUUGAUGCUCGAAAGUGUGGGUAUCAAACAGGAUUAGAUACCCUAGUAGUC
rnacentral:rRNA from 1 species